AGAGUUUGAUCCUGGCUCAGAACGAACGCUGGCGGCGUGCUUAACACAUGCAAGUCGAGUGCGCGCCUGUAGCAAUACAGGUGGCGCACGGCGCACGGGUGCGUAACACGUGGGCAAUCUGCCCUCUGAUGGGGAAUAACCCGCCGAAAGGCGGGCUAAUACCGCAUAAAAUUCCUUGGACUCAUGUUCGAGGACUCAAAGGCGUAAGUCGUCGGAGGAGGAGCCCGCGCACGAUUAGCUAGUUGGUAGGGUAAUGGCCUACCAAGGCUUUGAUCGUUAGCUGGUCUGAGAGGAUGGCCAGCCACACUGGAACUGAGACACGGUCCAGACUCCUACGGGAGGCAGCAGUGGGGAAUCUUGCACAAUGGGCGAAAGCCUGAUGCAGCGACGCCGCGUGGGGGAUGAAGCAUUUCGGUGUGUAAACCCCUUUCGAUCCGGACGAAUACCUCGCAAGAGGGGUGACGGUACGGAUAUAAGAAGCCCCGGCUAACUACGUGCCAGCAGCCGCGGUAAGACGUAGGGGGCCAGCGUUGUUCGGAAUUACUGGGUGUAAAGGGUUCGUAGGCGGUGUGGCAAGUUGGGAGUGAAAUCUCUGGGCUCAACCCAGAGGCUGCUUCCAAAACUGCUGUGCUUGAGUGUGAGAGAGGCUCGUGGAAUUGCAGGUGUAGCGGUGAAAUGCGUAGAUAUCUGCAGGAACACCCGUGGCGAAAGCGGCGAGCUGGAUCACUACUGACGCUGAGGAACGAAAGCUAGGGGAGCAAACAGGAUUAGAUACCCUAGUAGUCC
rnacentral:rRNA from 1 species